GUGUGUGUGUUAUGUGUUUUCUUUUCUUUAUCCUCUUUCACUUUCACUGCCACCCCUUUGAAACGUGCAUAGAAAGCUCACUUUUGCACUUGCAUGCGGGAAUAUAAAUUUAUAUACACAUAUAUACAUAUACACACACACAUGGUGUAUAUUCACAUUAUAUCUCUAUAGACUAUACUGCUAUAUAUACACACACAUAUAUUACAUAAGCAGUUUCACAUUAUAAGCUACAUUCCAUACGCCUUUGUUUGAAGAUCAUAGAUGUGGUUACUCAAAGGUAUGAAACUUUAUAUUCAUGAGAUGACCGGUGAAUGCUAUGAUCGUGGCAACGAACCUUGGAGAGCGUGCAUACACGUGAUGAUCAUAUGAUCAAAAUGGUUAUAUUUUAUCGAGAUGGGGAAUCAAGCACUGCUGGUCCGAUUACCACCCACAAUUCUAGUUUCACUGAUUAAUUCUUUGUCUCCUGUCUUUUAAUUAAGGAGUUUGUGUUGCAAUAUAUGCUUGUAUGAUGUGUUUUUUGGUUAAUUGAUGUAAUAAUAAUAAUAUUGUUUAAUCCAAAUAUAAACAUUUUAAUCUUAUGUGUUGAUUUGUUUUAUUGUUAGUCUAAGUUUGUAUCUGUUAACAAGUUACAAGUGUUUAAUAUAUGAAUCUUUAUAUUGU
rnacentral:lncRNA from 1 species